rnacentral:rRNA from 1 species
UUGUCCUACGGGGCGCAGCAGUGGGGAAUAUUGCACAAUGGGGGAAACCCUGAUGCAGCGACGCCGCGUGAAGGAAGACGUAUUUCGGUAUGUAAACUUCUAUCAGCAAGGAAGAUGAUGACGGUACUUGACUAAGAAGCCCCGGCUAACUACGUGCCAGCAGCCGCGGUAAUACGUAGGGGGCAAGCGUUAUCCGGAUUUACUGGGUGUAAAGGGAGCGGAGGCGGCCAUGCAAGACAGAAGUGAAAGCCCGGGGCUCAACCCCG